GACCCUGGUUCAGUAUACAGCUGAGUUAUACCAUGAGUUGCAUACUCUGGAUAAAAUUGAGCAAGAUUAUCAGCACAAGCAUCUAGAAAAUGGAAAAUCAAAUGCCAGCCAAAAAGGUAAUGGUCUUAUAAUUUUAGCGGCUGAGUUGAAAAGCCAGAAGAGAAUAGUAAGGAACUUGAAGAAAAAGUCACUGUGGUCCAGAAGUCUGGAAGAGGUCAUGGAUAAGCUGGUGGAUAUUGCCCUCUUUCUCAACAGGGAGAUAGAUAAUAUGUCUGGCAGUGCAGAUCCAAAUAGCGAGAAAAAACAUUCUCUGGGUAGUAAGCAAAGAUUGGGGCCUGCUGGUCUUGAUCUACAUUAUGCUAAUAUAAUUCUCCAAAUUGAUUCAAUUGUAGCUCGGUCAAGCUCUAUGCCUCCAAAUGCACGAGAUACACUAUAUCAGAAUCUUCCACCUAAUAUAAAGUUUUCUUUGCGAUCCAAAAUUCUAUCUUUCCAUGUCAAAGAGCAGCUCAGUGUUACUGAAAUUAAAGCUGAAAUGGAGAAGACACUACAAUGGCUAGUUCCUGUUGCAAUAAUUACUGCCAAAGCUCACCAUGGUUUUGGUUGGGUUGGAGAAUGGGCUAAUUCUGGGUCUGAGUCAAAUCGCAGAUCAGUUGCAUCAGUGGAUGUCAUUAAAAUUGAGACAUUAUACCAUGCUGACAAACAGAAAUCAGAGGCUUAUAUCCUUGACCUCAUCCUAUGGCUCAGUUACCUAGUAGCUCAGUCCAACACCACUUUAAAUGGUGGGCGCAUGAGGUCACUUGUGAAACCUCCAGAAUGUUCAUCUCCUGCCAUAGCUAACCAGCAGCCAACACAAAUAUCUGCUGCUGAUCAGGGGAUGUUGAAGGAAAAUAACCAGUCAACAAAAGCUGAAUCGGUUCAGCAAAAGUAACAACUAUUCUACUACUACAGGAAGCAAGGAGCUCUUAUCUGAGAAAUUCUGUUCCUCUAGCAUUUCUGUGAUCCCUUUUGGUCCCUACAAACAGAAAAAACUUCAUGCCAUAGACCGGAAAGUUCAAUAUGUGUUGCUUGUUGUGGGAUCAGCAGAUGAUAAUGUGUUAUUUAAAGGGUCAUUGUCUGCAAUCAUGCAUUUGAGGAGCUUGAAUUUGAUGCCCUUUUGUAGGAGAAUUCGUGUCAGGACGAAGAUAACCACAGCUGCAUGCAUUUAUAUGGUGAUUUGAUGUAAUUUAAUGGAUUCCAGAAAUAUAGAAUUAGAUGGAG
rnacentral:misc_RNA from 1 species